GAGUUUCUCUGUUGUGUGUAGCCCUGCCUGUCCUGGACCUCACUCUGCAGACCGGGCUGGCCUCGAAAUGGAAUUAUUUUUAAAGUGAUGCUGCUUGGAUUACUUAGAAGGAAGACAGGAGUCCAGACCCCAGCAGAAAUGUCACCAGACCAGAGAGUGUGGGCAGACGACAAGAGAAGACAGAAGCACAGACAUGGUUGGGAGGAGAACACAUUCCACAGAUUUUUCCAGAAAACCUAGUGCUGCUUUCCAUUUCCUUGAGCCAUGUGGGUUUCCAAAAGCAAAUCAGCUCACUGGAAAAUGAAACAGAUGGCAAGAAACCGUCACAGCCCGGAAAAGAAGCUUGUGAAGGGUUAAAUGCUCAAAAACCAGUAUGUCACCUAAAACAGCAUGUCAACUGUGUCAGCCUUCCAGGAGCAGAGUCCUGCCUAUCCACUUCCGCUUUAUGCAAUGUGGCCUCUCACUUACCCUCUAGCAUCUUUAUGUUUUGGAAGUCUGGAACAAAUCCUGCAAGCCGCAGCAAUGUAGAGAGGUGCCCAAGGCUGUGUGCAUCGUGACCCUGACCCAAGGCAGAAGAAGGUGGAGAGCACAGGCUGGUGAGAGAUGAGGAUAUGAUCACUUUUCCUAAAUACACUCAGAAUUGGGUCAGCUGGCUCACCCUAGACACACCUAGGUGGGGGUGUUCCACACACUAGCAGAAACCCAAUCUUUAGGUUGUAAACUAGUCAGCUAUUCCUUUGGCAUGUUCUAACACUUCACCUGAAAGUU